rnacentral:rRNA from 1 species
CCUGGCUCAGGAUGAACGCUAGCUACAGGCUUAACACAUGCAAGUCGAGGGGCAGCAUGGUCUUAGCUUGCUAAGGCCGAUGGCGACCGGCGCACGGGUGAGUAACACGUAUCCAACCUGCCGUCUACUCUUGGACAGCCUUCUGAAAGGAAGAUUAAUACAAGAUGGCAUCAUGAGUCCGCAUGUUCACAUGAUUAAAGGUAUUCCGGUAGACGAUGGGGAUGCGUUCCAUUAGAUAGUAGGCGGGGUAACGGCCCACCUAGUCUUCGAUGGAUAGGGGUUCUGAGAGGAAGGUCCCCCACAUUGGCACUGAGACACGGUCCAAACUCCUACGGGAGGCAGCAGUGAGGAAUAUUGGUCAAUGGGCGAGAGCCUGAACCAGCCAAGUAGCGUGAAGGAUGACUGCCCUAUGGGUUGUAAACUUCUUUUAUAAAGGAAUAAAGUCGGGUAUGGAUACCCGUUUGCAUGUACUUUAUGAAUAAGGAUCGGCUAACUCCGUGCCAGCAGCCGCGGUAAUACGGAGGAUCCGAGCGUUAUCCGGAUUUAUUGGGUUUAAAGGGAGCGUAGAUGGAUGUUUAAGUCAGUUGUGAAAGUUUGCGGCUCAACCGUAAAAUUGCAGUUGAUACUGGAUAUCUUGAGUGCAGUUGAGGCAGGCGGAAUUCGUGGUGUAGCGGUGAAAUGCUUAGAUAUCACGAAGAACUCCGAUUGCGAAGGCAGCCUGCUAAGCUGCAACUGACAUUGAGGCUCGAAAGUGUGGGUAUCAAACAGGAUUAGAUACCCUGGUAGUCCACACGGUAAACGAUGAAUACUCGCUGUUUGCGAUAUACUGCAAGCGGCCAAGCGAAAGCGUUAAGUAUUCCACCUGGGGAGUACGCCGGCAACGGUGAAACUCAAAGGAAUUGACGGGGGCCCGCACAAGCGGAGGAACAUGUGGUUUAAUUCGAUGAUACGCGAGGAACCUUACCCGGGCUUAAAUUGCAGAUGAAUUACGGUGAAAGCCGUAAGCCGCAAGGCAUCUGUGAAGGUGCUGCAUGGUUGUCGUCAGCUCGUGCCGUGAGGUGUCGGCUUAAGUGCCAUAACGAGCGCAACCCUUGUUGUCAGUUACUAACAGGUUCCGCUGAGGACUCUGACAAGACUGCCAUCGUAAGAUGUGAGGAAGGUGGGGAUGACGUCAAAUCAGCACGGCCCUUACGUCCGGGGCUACACACGUGUUACAAUGGGGGGUACAGAGGGCCGCUACCACGCGAGUGGAUGCCAAUCCCCAAAACCUCUCUCAGUUCGGACUGGAGUCUGCAACCCGACUCCACGAAGCUGGAUUCGCUAGUAAUCGCGCAUCAGCCACGGCGCGGUGAAUACGUUCCCGGGCCUUGUACACACCGCC